GGCGCCGCUUCUGGGGGUGCCAUGGAGACGCUGUGUCCCGUCCUGGCACCCGGAGCUGCUGAACGGAGCGAGCUUGGAGCCUCCGCGGGGGAAAGCGCCAGCCUUGCUGUGCCUACGCCUAUCCACAGCCCAGGAGUGAGCGCCAGAGCUUUCACGGAACCACAGAACGCUCUGUGUCGGAAGACACCCACAGGGAUGGUCGCGGCCAACUCUGGUGGUUUCAGAGGGGGUUAAGCGGUGCCCCGAGGGCUCCCUUCCACCAGUUUGAAAUUGCUGCUGCAAGGGGAAGCCCUGGCGCGGUCUCAGCUUGGGCGAUUCCCUGCAGGGUUGGGCUGUGCCCGAGGACGCUGCGAGGACUGUGCCUGUCCCCAGGUGUCCCCAUUUUUCAGCUCUUUCCGAGGCUGGCGGCUCUCCCUCGCUCCUCGUCUCCUUUCCAGAGGGCAGCGUCUAUCUCCUGGUGCGGAGCCAUCCGGGAGCGUCCCGUUUCCAGAAUCCGCCAGCUCGGAGCCGCCCCCGGAGAAAGUGAACGGCAGCCACAGCAAGGCAGCGCCGGCGGUGACCGCCCGAUGGAGCUCACACCAACUCCUGUUGUCCCGGUGGCGAUUUGAGUGUGCCCAGAAACACAUCCACAGUGUCCUGAUCUGACAGGUCCAGCACGUCCAUCUGUUCCAGCAUGUCUACAUUCACCUCCAUGGAGGAAAUGCUGCCUAAGGGAGCUGCAGAGAUAGAGGCCAGCAAAAAGGUGAGACAUUGGGAAGAAGAAAUCCACAUCAUGCUGGAAAACCUCCUCAAAGAACUUCUGCCGGUCCCGUAGUUUCAGCUGCUGCUGCUGCUGCAUUUGCUCUGCAUCCAGGUUCCGCUGGGCCUGCUCCAUGUCAGCUGGGGACAAAAGCAAAGCGUGUCUGCCCCGGGCCAAAAGGUGAGAGGGGACAGAAGUGACGCUGGAGUCAGUGAAGAGUCUCCACUUCUGGUACGGAGCCCUAAGAAUAAGCCUUGCCAGAAACCUGCAGGGUCUGUCUCGGCUGCUGCAGCAUCCCUGCCUUCCCUGUGCCUCCAGUGCAGGCUCACAAGCACUGCCUUGUGUCAACAGCCCUCGCCCUUACCGCAAAUGCCCAGGUCACGAGCCCAGGGUGGAAUGUCACCUCUUCUGUCCACGACACGAAGUCCAGCGCCUGCCAAAAGACCUCAGGGAGGGAAGCACCGAAGUGCCCCUGUCAUUGUGAGAAAAUGCAAGGUGACUUGCUCCUCCUGCCCUUCCUGCUCAGGUUUCUCCCGUUUAUUAGAGGUUUGGGAGGUGAGUCAGGGAGCUGCGGGGUGAGGAUGGAGCUGGGGAGGAAUCGGCAGCUAAGGGAAAGGCAAAUCAGUUCCAGGCACAGGUGAAUCACUUGCUGGUGAAAAUACAUCGUAUUCUCUGGGAGGCGUGCAUGGAUGAGGCUGGGAGUUAGCUACAGCUUGACUCCACCAGAAAAUUGUGGAGUCAAGAGAAAAAACAAGGCAAGGCAAGGCUGCUUUUCCAGUAAAUGAGGCGAUACAUUGCAAAGGAGAAGCCUGCAGCCGGCAAAGCUCCAGCAACCCGUGGUCCUGUGGCUCCCUUAAAAGGGGCGAUUUUAGCCUGGGACAGCGGGGAGACAGAAAAGCCAUAAACACCCUCAAAGGAAUGUGGCUGCUGAGAAAUGAGAAUCUCUGCAGGCGAGGCGAGAUGGGGGGAGCCUGGGUGGGGUUUGUAGCACCACUCCAUGCCUGCAGCCAGCCGAUUCCUUGGCCAUGCCCUGUCCUUAGGGAAGGACUCCCAUCCCAGUGCUAACAGUCCCCAUGUGGUGCUGGGGGAGGCUCCUGCCAAGCCCUGGGGAUGUCGUGUUCCCAUGUCCUCAGGCCCCACACCAUACAGACAUCCCUGCUUGCCAGCUGCUGGCACGAGAACAGGUAGAGCUGGGAGGUCGUGUGAAGGCAGCAGGACACCAGCCUCGGCCAAAGACAGAGCAGGCAGGGCUGGGAGAGGGUGACUGUCCCAGAGGAAUUUCCUCUUCAAUCAUAUCCCACUUAUUUACAGGCAGAGCUAUUCCGCACAGACUUUGCCCUUAGUGCCAUGGAGCAGCCCUGUGUCCUGGGGCAUUGUGCAUAUUCUUGGGAAGAGUCCUUGGGGAUGGCUUGUCCCUGCAGGUAGCUGUGGGUAUGUGGUGACACCUCUGGGCCAGGCUCUCCCAUGCAUGUCCCAGGCUGGUGGCAAAUGGAACAUGCACCAGUCAGUAGCCUAACUGAAGUGACCAUGCUGCUUGUUUUUCUUCCAGGGCGGAUGGUGCAGCACGUGGCACGCAUC